rnacentral:rRNA from 1 species
UACGUAGGCAGCAAGCGUUGUUCGGAGUUACUGGGCGUAAAGGGUGUGUAGGCGGUUUCGUAAGUCUGGUGUGAAAUCUCCCGGCUCAACUGGGAGGGUGCGCCGGAAACUGCGGGGCUAGAGUGCGGGAUGGGAGAGUGGAAUUCCUGGUGUAGCGGUGAAAUGCGUAGAUAUCAGGAGGAACACCUGCGGUGUAGACGGCUCUCUGGACCGUAACUGACGCUGAGACACGAAAGCGUGGGUAGCAAACAGGAUUAGAAACCCCCGUAGUCC